CUCUCUCAAACCUCAUGUACCCACCACCAUUUUAGCACCACCACUAUAAACAAUCCUCCAUUUUCUCUCUAUUCUUAGUUUUCACAACCACCAGCCGGCCGUCGUCACUAAACUUCUCCAACAUCAGAUCUGUAUUGAUUUCCCUCUAUCAAUACCCACUUUAAUCAAAGCAAGAUCUAGUUCUUUUUUUUUUGAAACAAACCCAAAAAUCAAACCCACAUAAACCCAUCCAUAAAAACCCCCCAACCACCGUCCACCGUCGCCACUCCCACCUCAACCACCGUCCACCGCUUCCAAACUAACACACUCCUCUCUCUUUACUCCCUCUCUACCAAAUUUGGUGACAGGUACCCAAAUUAUUUACCCGGACUAUGCCCAUGAAAUUGUGAAACUUCAUUCGUUUCAAUCUACUUCCAUUUCUCAUUAAGAUCCAAGCCAUUGUUCUACAAGAUCGAGAUGGAGGGUGGCGAUAUGAACCAGAUGGUGGAGAUGGAGGGUCACCAACAGUGGAGGGUGCGAGUUGGGUUAUUUAUUAUUUUUAGAUUAGAUUAAGGUUAUUUAUUUUAGUAUUUGGGGUGAAAUGACCAAAAAUAUCCUUAUGUGGGGUCCAUUUGGUCAGAUUUAACAAUGAAAAUUAACUGAGUUAGGGCUAAAAGACAUAACAUGCAAGGAUUUGCAAACAUCAAGUAUGUUUCUUGUAUAUUUUGAAGACAAAGACAUAGUUUGUAAUAUGGUAUAAACAUAAAGGACGAUUUUUAUAAUUUU